UGCGGUUGGUGCAUAGCAGAGCGGCUCUCUGCGCUCUUGGAUCGGAAAGAGCAGAAGGUGCGAAGACAGAAAGGAAGAGAAGCAGAAAGGAAACAGAAGAAGGAAUCAUUGAGAGAGAAGAGAAGCUUGAGAGAGAGCGGGAACCCUAGAGUGAGAGUGCGUCUUCCUCCGACCAGCCACGAGUGCCGCCGGAGUCCGUCUUCUUCCACCCAGCCAGUUCCGAUUCAGGGUCGCUGCAGCUCCGACGUUGGCAGACGAAACAAAGACGGCAUCGUCUUCCCUCCGACCAAGCCAACUAAGGGCGCGUUUUGAGUCUCGAUUCCUCCCACCCGCUUCCUUCCCUGUGUCGGACCCUUGCGGUGGUCGCCGGAGUGCCGUCGGAGCAUCGCCGGAGUGUCGCCGGACCCUCUCAAGAAACUGCAGUGGUAGCAAAGACAAAAUAAGUGAGGACUUCAGGCAAAUGUUUUGCACAACUAGGUCAACUACGUUGCAGGUACAACACUUGCACACUCCAAGCCAACCAAACUUUUAUUGUUUUGAAAUUUAUGGAGUUGUGGGAUGUCGCUGAGGAAUACGAAAGCAACACAAUGCCCACCUACAGAAAUGUAAGGAGGAAGUGCAACAGGUUAGGGAGAAAUAUGUUUGUGGUUGGAUCUUGGAUGUGGACAAUGUGCGGAGGGAUGAAGUGUUACAAGAUUAAGGCCUUAUGUAGAUGUCGUUGAAUAAGAAUUUUUGCAAUGUGAUUGAUG